rnacentral:rRNA from 1 species
CCUACGGGAGGCAGCAGUGGGGAAUAUUGGGCAAUGGGCGCAAGCCUGACCCAGCAACGCCGCAUGAAGGAAGAAGGCUUUCGGGUUGUAAACUUCUUUUCUCAGGGACGAAGAAAGUGACGGUACCUCCGGAAUAAGCCACGGCUAACUACGUGCCAGCAGCCGCGGUAAUACGUAGGUGGCAAGCGUUAUCCGGAUUUAUUGGGUGUAAAGGGCGUGUAGGCGGGACAGCAAGUCAGAUGUGAAAACUCAGGGCUCAACCCUGGGCCUGCAUUUGAAACUGUUUUUCUUGAGUGCUGGAGAGGCAGACGGAAUUCCUGGUGUAGCGGUGAAAUGCGUAGAUAUUAGGAGGAACACCAGUGGCGAAGGCGGAUUGCUGGACAGCAACUGACGCUGAGGCGCGAAAGCGUGGGGAGCAAACAGGAUUAGAUACCCCUGUAGUC